UACGAAGGGGGCUAGCGUUGUUCGGAAUUACUGGGCGUAAAGCGCACGUAGGCGGACUAUUAAGUCAGGGGUGAAAUCCCAGGGCUCAACCCCGGAACUGCCUUUGAUACUGGUAGUCUCGAGUCCGGAAGAGGUGAGUGGAAUUCCGAGUGUAGAGGUGAAAUUCGUAGAUAUUCGGAGGAACACCAGUGGCGAAGGCGGCUCACUGGUCCGGUACUGACGCUGAGGUGCGAAAGCGUGGGGAGCGAACAGG
rnacentral:rRNA from 1 species